GUCGCCAGAGCUCCCCUGGCCCCGCUCGGCCCGUGCGGCUGCCCUCAGCUCCAGCCCCUCCCCUGAAGCCUGUGCUGUGGCCGCAGGCAGCCCCCGAGCCCUGUCGUGAGGGCAGCAAGCCGGCCCUGCGGUGUUCUCGAGUCUCCCUCAACGUGGGUGCCGCUAGCAGCGGCGCGGGGAACGAGCGGCGUCUGCGGAAGCCCCUGCGGAAGGAGGGGGCUCCGGCCAGGGUCGAGCUGCGGUAAUAACGGUCACUGCUGCCUCUUUCCCUCUCCCAGAGGCCACGCUGUGGGUGCGGUUGUCCGUUCGUCCCCCGGGGAUGCCGUUGAAAGCAGCAGCCUCAGGCUUGCGUGGGCUGUCUCUGCCUGGCCUCCCUCUCCUCGCGGCGCGGGAGCACAGAGGGACAGGCGGAGCGCUUACUGGCUGUGGGCAGGAGCUGCUGAAGCUGGAGAGGCUAGAGAAUGUUAAAGAAGAAGAAAUAGAAGGCCAUCCGGCUGGCAGCUGCCUCCUGCUGCAGGCAAGAGAGAGCCUGCCUCUCUGCAUGUGGAAGGAUCCCACCUCGUAGUCCACAGCAGGUCAGACCGCCAACGUGCACCACAGGGUCUGUAUGCAUCACCAACAGCACGGUGGAGGACAGUCAAGCGACAGGAUUUACAGGAGAGGAAGGGAGGAGAGGAGAAAGAAACGUCUGAACUGGCAAAGGCUUCUGGCAGCUCCAAGAGCAAGAGCUGUGUUUUGACAGCAGUUGAUAUACAACCUUGUGGAAAGGCCAGACCGUUGCACGUAGCUGGAGCUUGUAAGGAGAAGCAGCUGAAAUCAGCUGGAGCUUCAGCGCGGAGCUGGGGCUUCAGCGAGCCAGAACUGUAGCAAGCGGGAGCUGGAACGAGUGUCACCUUCCGCGUCACACGAAGAAAAUCCCGCGUGGGUAAUUCCGCUUGCUGCUCAGUGGAUGUCAGCUGCCACCAUUUCACCGUGGUUGCCCUUUCUUCUGCCGUGAAAGUACAAGAGAGAUGGAAAGAUUCCGUAGUGGUCUGCAAGUACAAGGUUUUCCCAGGAAGCAUUAGCAGCCUGGUAACUAGUGACAGUGAGUCCUGAGGUGGUUUUGCUUUAUUCACCAGACGAGCAAGAUGCAAAGCAGCAGCAGCAGCAGCGCAGGGGCCGUAGCUGUUGUGGUGGAUCCGUAAGCAUAGAUUCUGAUUGGGUACAACCUCGUCCUGCAGCUUCCCAGGGUUAUCUCCCUGCAGCCGUGCUGUAAGGAAGGGAGGAGACGUUUUCCAACACUGGCAAGAGUGUUUACUUGUAUGCUAAGAAGGUGUUCAAAAUGGUAUCAAUUAGCCUAAAUGCUGAUUUUAAGUGUUCAAAUCACUCUUAACUUUUAAAGGAGGUGUUGUAUUUUGAGCUGACCUGUGUACCUGGAAUCCUCCUUUAGCUGAGCGACUCUUCUUGUGCACCCCCAGCCUCCACUGGCAGGGCGGUAUGAGAAGCUGGAAAGUCCUUGACUUAGUAUAAACACUGCUUAGCAACAACUAAAGCGUCGGUGUGUUGUCAACGUUAUUCUCAUCCUAAAUCCAAAAUGGCCCUGUACCAGCUACUCGGAAGAAAAUUAACUUUAUUCCAGGCAAAACCAGGACAACCCCAACCCCCCUGAUCCUGGGUCUGCAACAGGGGAAAAAAAAAACAAACGAAUUUGGGACUCCUGGGAAAGCCAAAUCUGCCUGGAUUUGUGCAGCUGGAAAGGAAAAAAAACCACCCCAUUUUCAUGCACAAAACCACAACCAAAAGAUCACCCCUUUUUAUGUUGUGGAAAAGCA